GGAGCCUGGAAAUAACGAGCGUAGUUUAAAGCUGAUUGAGGAGGGAUGUCGGUACGGUAGAACUACUGGGUACAACCAGUAGAAGAGAGUAGCGUUGCGACGAGGUGAGGUUAGGGUGCGGGGAGUGAACCUCAGUCACGUAUCUAUCACAUGAGCCAAUAAUCGAAUCUGAUUGCGCCUCUUUUUUAUUUCGAAAUUGCAUUCGUAAUUCAACUUAUUAAUACGAUUUUGUGGAGUAAUGAGUGUUUACUGUCGGGCAAUGAUAAGUUUUUCAUCGAGAGUUUAUCGUAGGGGCGAAUCGUCGAUGCGGUUUUUGCUAUCAGAUUGUGUCUGUUUUGUUGGAACUUGGUCGAGAUAGGAAAAUGGGUGUAUACAUGAACAGAGUAUACAUGAACACGGUACACUUGCUACGUCACUGAACAUAUAACUAGUUUAGCGCAAUCGCGGCUAUCGCGCAGUCGCGCGACUUCGCCCAUCGAACGAAAAUUGUUCGCGUUGUAUUUGCUGGCCAUGAAUUACAUCAUAGAUAUCUAAUAGAAAAAUUAAGUAAUUGUAAUGUCUAUAUCUACUGCAAAUUAUAACAAUUAUAAUAAACAUAUUAGGAAUAUCUUAGAAUAGAGAAAAUAUUGUUAUAGCGAAACAAAUUGAACCAGAUUGUAUAAACAUUAGUUACAUGAUAUUUACUUAAAUAAAUGGAGCAAUAACAAAAAAUUCUACACUAAAUACAUAUUACUAAAUACCUUUUGCUUAGGUUUCGAACGGAACAUUUUUACAUUAUCACCAUAUUUACGUACUAUCAAAUAAUCCGCGUUCACAAAAGUAUACGUUACACAACUGUCCAAAAUCUCCGACCACUAUGGUUCUAGAAACCAAAGAACACUUUUUCCCCACUAUUCCCGUAUAAUUCCCGACACUGAAAA